UACGUAGGGUGCAAGCGUUGUCCGGAAUUAUUGGGCGUAAAGAGCUUGUAGGCGGUUUGUCGCGUCUGCUGUGAAAUUUCGGGGCUCAACCCCGAACUUGCAGUGGGUACGGGCAGACUAGAGUGUGGUAGGGGAGACUGGAAUUCCUGGUGUAGCGGUGAAAUGCGCAGAUAUCAGGAGGAACACCGAUGGCGAAGGCAGCUCGCUGGAACGGUACUGACGCUGAGGCGCGAAAGCGUGGGGAGCAAACAGG
rnacentral:rRNA from 1 species